rnacentral:rRNA from 1 species
GUAAGCGUGCGCAGGCGGUAUAUAAGACAGAUGUGAAAUCCCCGGGCUCAACCUGGGAACUGCAUUUGUGACUGUAUAGCUGGAGUGCGGCAGAGGGGGAUGGAAUUCCGCGUGUAGCAGUGAAAUGCGUAGAUAUGCGGAGGAACACCGAUGGCGAAGGCAAUCCCCUGGGCCUGCACUGACGCUCAUGCACGAAAGCGUGGGGAGCAAACAGGAUUAGAUACCCUAGU